rnacentral:rRNA from 1 species
CGUAGGAGGCAAGCGUUAUCCGGAUUCACUGGGCGUAAAGCGCGUGCAGGCGGUGCGGUAAGUUGGGCGUGAAAUCUCCCGGCUCAACUGGGAGAGGUCGUUCAAUACUACCGUACUUGAGAGCAGAAGAGGAAAAUGGAAUUCCCGGUGUAGUGGUGAAAUGCGUAGAUAUCGGGAGGAACACCAGUGGCGAAGGCGAUUUUCUGGUCUGUUUCUGACGCUCAGACGCGACAGCUAGGGUAGUAAACGGGAUUAGAGACCCCGGUAAUCCUAGCCGUAAACGAUGUGAACUUGGCGUUGGUGGGUUAAACUCCAUCAGUGCCGCAGCAAACGCGAUAAGUUCACCGCCUGGGGACUACGGCCGCAAGGUUA